AGUGAACGCUGGCGGUAGGCCUAACACAUGCAAGUCGAACGGCAGCACAGUAGGAGCUUGCUCUUACGGGUGGCGAGUGGCGGACGGGUGAGGAAUACAUCGGAAUCUACUUUUUCGUGGGGGAUAACGUAGGGAAACUUACGCUAAUACCGCAUACGACCUACGGGUGAAAGCAGGGGAUCUUCGGACCUUGCGCGAUUGAAUGAGCCGAUGUCGGAUUAGCUAGUUGGCGGGGUAAAGGCCCACCAAGGCGACGAUCCGUAGCUGGUCUGAGAGGAUGAUCAGCCACACUGGAACUGGGACACGGUCCAGACUCCUACGGGAGGCAGCAGUGGGGAAUAUUGGACAAUGGGCGCAAGCCUGAUCCAGCCAUACCGCGUGGGUGAAGAAGGCCUUCGGGUUGUAAAGCCCUUUUGUUGGGAAAGAAAAGCAGCAGGUUAAUACCCCGCUGUUCUGACGGUACCCAAAGAAUAAGCACCGGCUAACUUCGUG
rnacentral:rRNA from 1 species